UUUCUGUAGACUCGUAGUCGUAUAUAUCUGUUUUUGUGAUAUUUACAAAAAAAGGGCCUUGAUGAUUUAAACUUUCUUGAAACAUUUGUGAUUUAUGUUCCCGUAUAGUCUAUAUACUACAUUUGAUAAAAUUAAAUAUGAACGAUAAUGAAUCCUGGACAUCCAAAGAUGCCCUUUAUCGGGAUCUAGCCAGAGCUCAAGGAGGAGCUCCUAUAGCAAUAACUGACCCUUUGCUAUACCACGAAACACCCACGAGAGAAUAUGACGAAGAAAAGGAUUUGGAAUACCAAUUUAGAGAUGCUAGUGCAACAACAGACUUUAGUGAAGGCCCUGAUUUACAAAUGAUUAUGCAAAUGCUGGAAAUGAAUUUAAUUUCUUUUUCUAGGUAAAUGAUUAUGACGUCACAGCUGACAGUAAACCUGUUGAAAUAAGACAACUAAAUCCAUUAUCUAAAGUUUUUGUGCCCAAAUCUUCUGGAGAUGCCUCAGAUAUAUCAGAGCAGAAAAGCACUGCAAAAAAGAAAAACCGUAAUGCUGCAAUUGAGUCCAUUAUUAAAGCACAAGAAGCAUCUUCAAAUCUAAGUGAAACAAGCAAAUACAAACCCAUACCGCUAACAAAUAAAUUAAAUACUGAAAAUAUUAAGCAAAACAUAACUACUGAAAAAAAACAAAAUGGACUAAAACCUAUUGUAUAUAAUAGUAGUAUGGCAUCGAGUAUGUUUAAGAAGAAAACAGUAUCCAAUAAGUUAAAUAAAAGUCCAGAUACAUCAAAAGUAUCUCUAGAAAUACUCAAAACCAAUACAUUUGUUCCUUCAAAGGUAGCAAGUUCAUAUUAUGAGAAAUUUGUUGAAUUUAAUGAGGCAAAGGAAGAAAAAAGGGACAUUUGGACAUUGGUACAAAAGAAGAUAAAGGAAUCAGAGGAAAGAAAACGCCGCGAAGCAGAGUUGGCGACCUCAAGUGGCACAGAGAAAUCUGGAGAAGCUUCUUCUCCACCUUUGGUGCAGGAGUCUAGUAAUGAAGAACAAGGACGAUAGCAUCGACGACUUUUUUUUCACAGUGCAAGUACUUCAACCACCAAAGCAAGAUUGAUACACCAUUACUUUAGAUGAAUAUCAAGUGUAGAAUCUAUUACAAUAUAGAGAUUUCAAAAUAAAGAACCAAUCUUGCUAGUAAUCUGUGACUCUGUUAGAUAAUUAGAUAUUCUUAGGAUAUUGGAAAUAAUUGUACCAAAUAAUAAUGAAUUUGUACUAUUGACCUAGUUCACAGGGAAACACUGCCCCAUGUUAUCAUAAACUUACUAUAAAUCUCCAACUAUUGAAUGUUUGGUCACUUUUGUACAUAAACGAGACACAACGCUUUCACGACUAAUCCAGGCUCAGAGUCAAAAUUUAGUGAUAAAUAUGAAUGUCGUAUUGAAUUUUGACAAACGCGCUUGAUCUUAACUCUAAUUUAGAAUAUUGCUCAUAGUAGUAGGUAUUAAAAUUAAUAUUUUAAUAAAGUUAUCUAUUUUGAUUGAUUGUGAUAAUUUUGACUGAAAAUAUUUCGAAACGUUCUAAAAGCGUUAAAAACGAAUAUACAAAAACGCGUAAUUUAAUGCGUGGUUUAUGGUCGCAUGUCGCAUGGUUAUAUUUAAUGGUCGAAACGGAUGAAUAAAUGUGUCUAUUCCAAUGCCGUGGUAUAUUUUUUAAAGCGGGAAAGAAUGUGAAGAUUUUGCUCUUAAAUGACUGAUGUAAUAUAGCAUCUUACCUAGAAAGUAGUUCUUAAUAGUUUUUUUAUAAAUAAUGGAACGACGUUCAGUUUUGCGGUCAUUUGGGCUAAAAGGCUAAUAAGCCUCCAAGAAGCUUGGUGUGCUCAGCAAGGCAAGACGGUACUUCGCUCCGAGCUCAUUCCAUUUGCUCGAAAUCGUUCUGUUCUUCUUACAAAAUAGUACGACUAUUUAUUUAUUUUAAAAUAACAGCUUCGCUCCUUUUUAUUCAAUACUUUAAGGCGAAGCCAAAAGUAGACAAAGUGUUAUUGUUAAAAUAAUUUUAUUGGAUAAGUUGGUUCGUGACACUCUUAUCGCCACUGCUUAAAAGGGAAGCAUUCAAUAUUUAAAUCGAAUUAGGGCGAAAUAAAUAGGGUCAUUAAAAUAUUUUUAAUCUAUUUAUAUGUAUGAAUUUUAAAAAUUGUAACGCAAAUAAACGUGAUAUUACUUUUUAUAACGAUAUAGUUAACCUUUGUACGACAAAGGUUUUAAAAAAAAUUUAGCAUUAAGACUAUUUUACUUUAAAUCAUAGUAGCUACGAGUAUAAUUGAAGCCAAAACUGCUUGAAGAACAAAUGCUUUCUGUCACUUUAACAAAAGGUUGAUACCUUUUGUUAACCUUUGUACAGAUUUACAGGACUAAGUUAUAUCUUAAUAAAUAUGUUUGCUUCAUGCCCAAA